AGUGAACGCUGGCGGCAUGCCUAACACAUGCAAGUCGAACGGCAGCACAGUAAGAUCUUGCGCUUACGGGUGGCGAGUGGCGGACGGGUGAGGAAUACAUCGGAAUCUACUUUUUCGUGGGGGAUAACGUAGGGAAACUUACGCUAAUACCGCAUACGACCUACGGGUGAAAUCAGUGGAUAUUCUGACCUUGCGCGAUUGAAUUAGCCGAUGUCGGAUUAGCUAGUUGGCGGGGUAAAGGCCCACCAAGGCGACGAUCCGUAGCUGGUCUGAGAGGAUGAUCGGCCACACUGGAACUGAGACACGGUCCAGACUCCUACGGGAGGCAGCAGUGGGGAAUAUUGGACAAUGGGCGCAAGCCUGAUCCAGCCAUCCCGCGUGGGUGAAGAAGGCCUUCGGGUUGUAAAGCCCUUUUGUUGGGAAAGAAAAGCAGCAGGUUAAUACCCCGCUGUUCUGACGGUACCCAAAGAAUAAGCACCGGCUAACUUCGUG
rnacentral:rRNA from 1 species